CCUACGGGUGGCAGCAGUGAGGAAUAUUGGUCAAUGGACGAGAGUCUGAACCAGCCAAGUAGCGUGAAGGAUGACUGCCCUAUGGGUUGUAAACUUCUUUUAUAUGGGAAUAAAAUGUUCCACGUGUGGGAUUUUGUAUGUACCAUAUGAAUAAGGAUCGGCUAACUCCGUGCCAGCAGCCGCGGUAAUACGGAGGAUCCGAGCGUUAUCCGGAUUUAUUGGGUUUAAAGGGAGCGUAGGUGGAUUGUUAAGUCAGUUGUGAAAGUUUGCGGCUCAACCGUAAAAUUGCAGUUGAAACUGGCAGUCUUGAGUACAGUAGAGGUGGGCGGAACUCGUGGUGUAGCGGUGAAAUGCGUAGAUAUCACGAAGAACUCCGAUUGCGAAGGCAGUUCACUGGACUGCAACUGACACUGAGGCUCGAAAGUGUGGGUAUCAAACAGGAUUAGAUACCCUAGUAGUC
rnacentral:rRNA from 1 species